CUGUCCAUCCAACAGGUGGCGCUGCAACUGAGAGUGUCUGUUGGCCUGUAGAUGUGAUCAGGAUUGGAUUGUGAUCACACAUGGAAAGUUUGAGGCAGAUUGGAGCAUGCAGAGGAGAGUUAUACAGCAGUUGUUGUUUCAUGGCGAAGCAUCAAAAUUCUAAUGGUCGCCAUGGCCACGCCAUUUGGCUUCUGGUUAAACUUUUGAUAACUUUUCCAAACCAAGUCCUGCUGUGUGGACUGACAAAAUUUCAGGUCUCCUGGAAUUAUCCCCAAGGAGGUAUUAACUCUCAAAAAUGAGAAAAAUCAUCAAAAAUCUCACAAUUAAUCCAAGAUGGCCGACUUCCUGUUGGGUUUAGGACAUGGCUCCAAGAGGCUUUUUUGUGCAUCCUGAUGUGCUCUAUAAGCCUCCCAAAUUUCAUGGAUGUAGGUGAAACGUGCUGGGGGGGCUGUUUGUUAAAAAUACUGUAGGGGGCGCUAUAGCAUGUGCAGUGCCGAGAUGCAUACAGUGUUGUUCCUUGGGUCAAUGGUGAUGUGUGUGGUAAUUUUUGUGAGCAUUGGAGUAUUCCUAACCUGUCAGAAAGGGCUUUGUUUUUCAUGGCGAUAUUUGGUUGCUACGGCAACAGCGUUGCAUGAAAUGUCACACCCUUCACAGUGUGGGAUUGUCAAGAGGUGAAGACUCGACUGACCAAUUUCCAGCAUGAUAUCACCAAGUUUGGGGCCAUUGUACCUGAAAAUAUAAGGCCUUAAACUUACUAUUACCAACAGGUGGCGCUAUGACUUUUUCAGAAUUUAUGAGUGUGGAUGUGUUCAGACUGGACCUGGUGUCCAUCAUGUGAAGUUUGGGGCA